rnacentral:rRNA from 1 species
UACGUAGGUGGCAAGCGUUGUCCGGAAUUAUUGGGCGUAAAGCGCGCGCAGGCGGUCCUUUAAGUCUGAUGUGAAAGCCCACGGCUCAACCGUGGAGGGUCAUUGGAAACUGGGGGGACUUGAGUGCAGAAGAGGAAAGCGGAAUUCCACGUGUAGCGGUGAAAUGCGUAGAGAUGUGGAGGAACACCAGUGGCGAAGGCGGCUUCUGGUCUGUAACUGACGCUGAGGCGCGAAAGCGUGGGGAGCAAACAGG